rnacentral:lncRNA from 1 species
UAGGGUUUGAGAUAUAUAAAUACACUUCUAUAUGACAUGGAAAUUCAUUUAAAAUAUGGGAGUUAUAGCCCCAUCACAGUCGGGCAAUGUCACUGUUUGCUUCAGAGGGACUAUUCAUUUGAAUAAGAACAUUAUCCAUAAUCAGCAGGUCCUUUCAUAGCUUGGAUCAAUGCCAGGCUAGAAGUUCUUCAUUCUUAUCUCUUGGAGUCAAAGAAAGGAAUGAAAAGAGAGAAAAAAAUUACAAUAGCCAUUCUUAUCAGCUGGUUUAAUCAGGUAAGCAUUUAUUGCUGUAUUUAAUGGAAAAGAGAAAAAAAAAACUCACUUUUUUGAAUCUUCUGACCUUGAAAGGUAGACAGGCUGGUUUUCGGUGUGACAGGCUCAAAAGAUAACCUUCUCUUCCUUUUCUGAAUGAAAGGACACAAAAGGCAAAAGCAGAAGGAAAUUCAAGGCUCUUUUUAAUUUAAGAGAAAGCAGACUGGUGGGAAUUUUACUAUAAUAUGAAAGAGUUUUGGUAGUAUCCAUGAGAGAACAUAGUGCUCAUUCAAGCGAUGUAGUAGAGAACCCAUAAUAUGAUCCCUUUUAUUCCCAAAGAACAUAAAAAAGAGGGUGGAAAGAGAAUCUACUAUCUCUUGUUCCGGUCUUCUUCAAAUAUGACUAUGAAGAAGCCUGAAGGAACUGUAAAGGAACUGGAAGCAGAGCUUUUCAGAGGUGACGUUGCCUUGGCUGUGGCAGACAUUAGCAGAGGAACUAGAGAACUUUUCACUGUGGAGGAAGACCAUGCUGUUACAGAAGUCAGCUCAUCUUUCUAGUCAGUUCUACUCUCUCUCAAGCACCGAACUCUCACUAACUAAACAAAAUAUAAUCUCCAAACUGUUUUGACUUGUGAUUGUUAUAUAUUAAUCAGCUAUUUAAAGAAAUAGUGGGUUUUUCUGUUGUUGUUAUGAUGUGUAUUUUAAAAGUAGAAGCAAGAGAAGUGUGUGGAGUAUUCAGUUUGUAUUCAGUCGACUAUAAAUUUAACCAAUAUCAGAAUUGCAAAGAUUACCAGACUAUCUGUAUUUUGUAUCUCUAGGUUAAAAGAUGUUGUAUAAAUUGUUUCUUGUAAACUAGAAAAUAUGCAAGAGUUCUGAUGUGGGAAUGGCAUAAAUACAUAAAUAGUGUAUCUAAUAGUUCAUCUAGUGUCCAUGAACAUGUAUGAUGUAUACAGUCUUGCUUUGUAGAACAAUUUCUCUCUGUGCUAGUUUCACAUAGAUAUAUGUGUGUUACACUUCUUAGAGGAGAACUCUCCUUUGUCCUUCCUCUGAAUUUUGGAAAAAAAUUGUGCUUAACAAGAAAGGGUUCAAUAAAAUAGGUAUAGGUCUUGUGUUGUUAUCA